rnacentral:rRNA from 1 species
UACGUAGGUGGCAAGCGUUGUCCGGAUUUAUUGGGCGUAAAGAGCGUGUAGGCGGUUCGGUAAGUCUGUCGUGAAAUCCUGAGGCUCAACCUCGGGCGUGCGAUGGAUACUGCCGGGCUAGAGGGUGGUAGAGGCGAGUGGAAUUCCCGGUGUAGCGGUGAAAUGCGCAGAUAUCGGGAGGAACACCAGUAGCGAAGGCGGCUCGCUGGGCCACACCUGACGCUGAGACGCGAAAGCUAGGGGAGCGAACAGG